rnacentral:miRNA from 1 species
GUAAGAUAACCCCGAUGGUGAUGAUGAUGAUCAUUAUCAUCAUCGUCAUCGUCAUCAUCAUUC